UAUGAGGGCCCGACGUCCACAGGUGGGGGUUAUGCUUACAGCCCAACACCGUGUAGGACGUGUGGCAUUUCCCAGAGAACACCAAGAUUGUCAAAUUCGCCACUGGCGCCCUGUGCUCUUCACAGAAGAAAGCAGGUUCACACUGAGCACAUGUGACAGACGUCACAGAGUCUGGAGACACCGUGGAGAACGUUCUACUGCCUGCAACAUCCUCCAGCAUGGCGGGUUUGGCAGUGGGUCAGUAAUAGUGUUGGGUGGCAUUUCUUUGGGGGGCCGCACAGCCCUCCAUGUGCUUGCCAUAGGUAGCCUGACUGCCAUUAGGUACCAAGAUGAGAUCCUCAGACCGCUUGUGAGACCAUAUGCUGGUGUGGGCCCUGGGUUCCUCCUAAUGCAAGACAAUACUAGACCUCAUGUGGCUGGAGUGUGUCAGCAGUUCUGCAAGACAAAGGCAUUGAUGCUAUGGACUGGCCCGCCCGUUCCCCAGACCUGAAUCCAAUUGAUCACAUCUGGGAUAUCAUAUCUCGCUCCAUCCACCAACGUCACGUUGCACCACAGACUGUCCAGGAGUUGGCAGAUGCUUUAGUCCAGGUCUGGGAGGAGAU